rnacentral:rRNA from 1 species
GUCGUCAGCUCGUGUCGUGAGAUGUUGGGUUAAGUCCCGCAACGAGCGCAACCCUUGAUCUUAGUUGCCAGCAUUCAGUUGGGCACUCUAAGGUGACUGCCGGUGACAAACCGGAGGAAGGUGGGGAUGACGUCAAAUCAUCAUGCCCCUUAUGACCUGGGCUACACACGUGCUACAAUGGACAGAACAAAGGGCUGCAAGACCGCAAGGUUUAGCCAAUCCCAUAAAUCUGUUCUCAGUUCGGAUCGCAGUCUGCAACUCGACUGCGUGAAGCUGGAAUCGCUAGUAAUCGCGGAUCAGCAUGCCGCGGUGAAUACGUUCCCGGGCCUUGUACACACCGCCCGUCACACCACGAGAGUUUGCAACACCCGAAGUCGGUG